AUUGAACGCUGGCGGCAUGCCUUACACAUGCAAGUCGAACGGUAACGCGGGGCAACCUGGCGACGAGUGGCGAACGGGUGAGUAAUGCAUCGGAACGUGCCCAGUUGUGGGGGAUAACUGCUCGAAAGAGCAGCUAAUACCGCAUCCGACCUGAGGGUGAAAGCGGGGGAUCGCAAGACCUCGCGCAAUUGGAGCGGCCGAUGUCGGAUUAGCUAGUUAGUGGGGGAAAGGCCCACCAAGGCGACGAUCCGUAGCUGGUCUGAGAGGACGACCAGCCACGCUGGGACUGAGACACGGCCCAGACUCCUAAGGGAGGCAGCAGUGGGGAAUUUUGGACAAUGGACGCAAGGCUGAUCCAGCCAUGCCGCGUGCGGGAAGAAGGCCUUCGGGUGGUAAACCGCUUUUGUCAGGGAAGAAAUCUUCUGGGUUAAUACCUCGGGAGGAUGACGGUACCUGAAGAAUAAGCACCGGCUAACUACGUGCCAGCCGCCGCCGUAACAC
rnacentral:rRNA from 1 species